rnacentral:rRNA from 1 species
UACGUAGGGGGCAAGCGUUGUCCGGAAUUAUUGGGCGUAAAGAGCGUGUAGGCGGCCAGACAGGUCCGUUGUGAAAACUAGAGGCUUAACCUCUAGACGUCGAUGGAAACCGUCUGGCUAGAGUCCGGAAGAGGAGAAUGGAAUUCCUGGUGUAGCGGUGAAAUGCGCAGAUAUCAGGAAGAACACCCGUGGCUAAGGCGGUUCUCUAGUACGGUACUGACGCUGAGACGCGAAAGCGUGGGGAGCGAACAGG